rnacentral:tRNA from 3 species
ACGGUAGAGUACUCGGCUUUUAAGUGCG